GCAAGAUUAAAACUCAAAGGAAUAGACGGGGACCCGCACAAGUGGUGGAGCAUGUGGUUUAAUUCGAAGAUACGCGAAGAACCUUACCUAGCCUUGACAUAUUUUAGAAUCUUUCAGAGAUGAGAGAGUGCCUUCGGGAGCUAUCUUACAGGUGCUGCACGGCUGUCGUCAGCUCGUGUCGUGAGAUGUUGGGUUAAGUCCCGCAACGAGCGCAACCCUCGUCACUAGUUACUAACGAUUCGGUCGAGGACUCUAGUGAGACUGCCUUCGUAAGGAGGAGGAAGGUGAGGACGACGUCAAGUCAUCAUGGCCCUUACGGCUAGGGCAACACACGUGCUACAAUGGUUAGGACAAUGAGACGCAAUAUCGUGAGGUGGAGCAAAUCUAUAAACCUAAUCUCAGUUCGGAUUGUAGUCUGCAACUCGACUACAUGAAGCUGGAAUCACUAGUAAUCGUAGAUCAGCUAUGCUACGGUGAAUACGUUCCCGGGUCUUGUACUCACCGCCCGUCACACCAUGGGAGUUGAUUUCACCCGAAGCGGGGAAGCUAAACUGGCUACCCUCCACGGUGGAAUUAGCGACUGGGGUGAAGUCGUAACAAGGUA
rnacentral:rRNA from 1 species